CCCGGGCUCAACCUGGGAACUGCAUUGGAGACUGCAAGGCUAGAGUGUGUCAGAGGGGGGUAGAAUUCCACGUGUAGCAGUGAAAUGCGUAGAGAUGUGGAGGAAUACCGAUGGCGAAGGCAGCCCCCUGGGAUAACACUGACGCUCAUGCACGAAAGCGUGGGGAGCAAACAGGAUUAGAUACCCUGGUAGUCCACGCCCUAAACGAUGUCUACUAGUUGUCGGGACUUAAUUGUCUUGGUAACGCAGCUAACGCGUGAAGUAGACCGCCUGGGGAGUACGGUCGCAAGAUUAAAACU
rnacentral:rRNA from 2 species